rnacentral:rRNA from 1 species
GGACUACAAGGGUUUCUAAUCCCGUUUGCUCCCCUAGCUUUCGCGCCUCAGCGUCAGUGUCGGUCCAGGACGCCGCCUUCGCCACCGGUGUUCCUCCGGAUAUCUACGCAUUUCACCGCUACACCCGGAAUUCCACGUCCCUCUCCCGAACUCAAGCCAAGCAGUUUUCCGUGCGGUUCCUCAGUUGAGCCGAGGGAUUUCACACGGAACUUACAAGACCGCCUACGCGCCCUUUACGCCCAGUAAUUCCGAACAACGCUUGCUGCCUCUGUAUUACCGCGGCGGCUGGCAC